GGCCGAGCGCGCACGCCCGACACCGACGCCGCUCGCUCUCACCGCUCGCCCCGCGCACACCACGCUGCACAUGACACGCCGCGCCGACAACUGCACGUGUAUGCAAUCGUCGACCACCGCCACCGGACGCGUGUUCCUACAAUACAAAUCUUGUUGAAUAAACGUCACGUGUAACCUUCGGCUCCUCUAACAAAUAAUUGGCUCGCCAAAAAAUAUUGUAAAUUGAUAGUGUGACAUUAAAUAUCAUGAUACGUGUCAGAAAAACAGUGUUUAUCGUAUAAUUUGGGCGGCGGCGAAACGUCUACGUCAUGCUACGAGACAGCAGCUGUCCCCACCGGACUCGCAGCCGGCCACAAUGGAGCUCAUUAUCUUGCGCCGGCUCCGACUCACCCAACUGAAAGGCCCCGCACCGGCGUGGUAGGCGUACUACUGAGGGUCGCGCGCCCUCUCCUGUGACUAGCCAGAGCUCUAGCGCACGGCACGGGCGGCGGAUUGUAAGCAAACGUUCAUUCUUACCAUCUUUAGCGUAGCCAAACAUUUCAAUAUUUUUAAAGAAUAUAACAUGUAUCUAAUUUAUACGGAUAGGCAGUGUAAGUUGUAUUUAGGUCUGGAUGUUGUUGAACGACUAAUGAACCUAUUACUGAAUGUACUAUUAAUAAGACACAAACUUAUCAACAAUUGGUAUGAACAGAACCUAGGGUAGUUACCCUCAAUACGUAUACCCUACUACAGGAGACUCGGGAAAUCUUUAUACCCACAAAAUAAGAAGUAAACAGUCUCAGCUCGAUAUUUUCAUUUAAUUGGACGAUCUAGUCCGCAUUUCAAAUGCAAAUACAGAGAAUUAAAAAAACUCUUUAGUGACGGUUGUUGAUUCGAAGUUUUUUAAACUGUAUUUCAGCGCUUAGUAGUGUUGACCUUCGCGAAUUUUGCAGUGCGCAGUGCAGGCAACCGCUUGAGACGUACUGAAAAUGCCUAUGUGAUAUGUUAUAAGAACAUUUAUGGUACCUGACUUAAACCCAAGCCUAUUGCUGAUGCAUUGUCGUCUCA